AGCUCUUGAUGUAUCACUGUAUUUUUCUUAGUGAAUAAGUUUUAACAGUGUAUCUUUUUUGGGAUGAUGUUAGUGAUAUCAGUAGAUAUGUAUAUUAGGGCUAGGGUUCUUAUGAUAUGUGUGUGAAGUAUGGGUGGCUAGGUUUUUUUUGAAUCCUUUUGAUGUGAGUCUCUUUUUUGGUUUUUUUAAUGUGUAAAAUUUUGAAGGAGUUUUAUUGUAUUCUUCUAUGUUUGUUGCCUCUUAGCUUUUUCUGAAUUGUGGUGGUUGUUUUCUUUUCUUUUGAUAUGAGUAUCAAAAUGAGGGCUCCCUCUAUCUUUUUAUGUUACUUUUAUAUAUGUUGAUGGAUAUUAGGAUUUGAUGGUGUGAUUUUGCAACUGAAAUGAUCCUUUUUUGAAAGUACAA
rnacentral:lncRNA from 1 species